ensembl:lncRNA
GGAGACUGCUUUGACCUGGCGCGGUGACGUCAAUAAAAAUAAGGUAUUCUGGAUGAAAGCCUGGGAAACCUGGGAUCCACGACUGUGUGUGCGUGCUCAGUCCUGACUGACCCUUUGUGACCCCAUGGACUGUGGCCCACCAGGCUCGUCUGUCCAUGAAAUUUUCCAGUGUGGGCAAACUCUCCAGUGAGCGCCGUUCUGGUUGACAAAUUGGAUUGCAACCUCCUAAGAGACGCUGAGCCACAGGCACCCAGCUAAGCUGCUCACAAAUUCCUGAUCCCCAAAGAAACUGGAGCCACCUAAGUCAGACAUGCAAAAAACCUUAGCGAUCAUCUGGUUCAGUUCUGUUGGGUCACAGAGGAGGAUUCUAAUGGCUAGAGAUUAAUUGAAUGGUCCAAGGUUACACAGACUCAGCUGCAUAUAACAUGCAGACCAGGGCACAUUCUGAUGCACAGUCACGACAGUCACAAGGCAGCCAGGCCACCCUGGAAGAACCACCUGAGUGUUCUGAUAGAAUCUGGUCUCCAGGGAGAGCUGCCAUCGAGGGCUUCAUGCCUUAUUGAUGCACGCCAUUCCUCACACCAAGAGACUGAGCCUGUUUCUCCUCCCCUUGAAUCUGGACCGGCCCUGUGACUGACUUAGACCAGUCGGUUGCUCUGGCUACUGCUGCUGCUGCUAAGUCGCUUCAGUCGUGUCUGACUCUGUGCAACCCCGUAGACGGCAGCCCACAAGGCUCCCCCGUCCCUGGGAUUCUCCAGGCAAGAACACUGGAGUGGGUUGCCAUUUCCUUCUCCAAUGCAUGAAAGUGAAAAGGGAAAGUGAAGUCACUCGGUCAUGUCCGACUCCUAGCGACCCCAUGGACUGUAGCCUACGAGGCUCCUCCGUCCAUGGGAUUUGCCAGGCAAGAGUACUGGAGUAAGGUGCCAUCGCCUUCUCCGUUGCUCUGGCUAUGACUCUACUAAUACCAGGUCAAGGCUUCAGGAGGGUGGGAGCUUCUGCUUCCUCUCUCUUGGAAGAGAGCUGCAGUGUGGGGAGUCCAGCUGCCUUGGGACCAUGUCACUAGGAG